GACGAACGCUGGCGGCGUGCUUAACACAUGCAAGUCGAACGGAAAGGCCCUGCUUUUGUGGGGUGCUCGAGUGGCGAACGGGUGAGUAACACGUGAGUAACCUGCCCUUGACUUUGGGAUAACUUCAGGAAACUGGGGCUAAUACCGGAUAGGAGCUCCUGCUGCAUGGUGGGGGUUGGAAAGUUUCGGCGGUUGGGGCUGGACUCGCGGCUUAUCAGCUUGUUGGUGGGGUAGUGGCUUACCAAGGCUUUGACGGGUAGCCGGCCUGAGAGGGUGACCGGCCACAUUGGGACUGCGAUACGGACCAGACGCCUACGGGAGGCAGCAGUGGGGAAUAUUGCACAAUGGGCGGAAGCCUGAUGCAGCAACGCCGCGUGCGGGAUGACGGCCUUCGGGUUGUAAACCGCUUUCGCCUGUGACGAAGCGUGAGUGACGGUAAUGGGUAAAGAAGCACCGGCUAACUACGUG
rnacentral:rRNA from 1 species